AUUGAACGCUGGCGGCAGGCUUAACACAUGCAAGUCGAGCGGGGUGAGGUGCUUCGGUACUGAUCCUAGCGGCGGACGGGUGAGUAAUGCUUAGGAAUCUGCCAUUUAGUGGGGGACAACAUUCCGAAAGGGAUGCUAAUACCGCAUACGUCCUACGGGAGAAAGCAGGGGAUCUUCGGACCUUGCGCUAAAUGAUGAGCCUAAGUCGGAUUAGCUAGUUGGUGGGGUAAAGGCCUACCAAGGCGACGAUCUGUAGCGGGUCUGAGAGGAUGCUCCGCCACACUGGGACUGAGACACGGCCCAGACUCCUACGGGAGGCAGCAGUGGGGAAUAUUGGACAAUGGGCGGAAGCCUGAUCCAGCCAUGCCGCGUGUGUGAAGAAGGCCUUUUGGUUGUAAAGCACUUUAAGCGAGGAGGAGGCUUACCUGGUUAAUACCUAGGAUAAGUGGACGUUACUCGCAGAAUAAGCACCGGCUAACUCUGUGCCAGCCGCCGCAGUAAAAC
rnacentral:rRNA from 1 species